rnacentral:rRNA from 1 species
CCUACGGGAGGCAGCAGUGGGGAAUAUUGCACAAUGGGCGCAAGCCUGAUGCAGCAACGCCGCGUGCGGGAUGACGGCCUUCGGGUUGUAAACCGCUUUCAGUUCCGACGAAGCGCAAGUGACGGUAGGAACAGGAGAAGGACCGGCCAACUACGUGCCAGCAGCCGCGGUGAUACGUAGGGUCCGAGCGUUGUCCGGAAUUAUUGGGCGUAAAGGGCUUGUAGGCGGUUUGUUACGUCGGAAGUGAAAACUCAGGGCUUAACCCUGAGCCUGCUUCCGAUACGGGCAAACUAGAGGAAUGCAGGGGAGAAUGGAAUUCCUGGUGGAGCGGUGGAAUGCGCAGAUAUCAGGAGGAACACCGGUGGCGAAGGCGGUUCUCUGGGCAUUUCCUGACGCUGAGAAGCGAAAGCGUGGGGAGCAAACAGGCUUAGAUACCCUGGUAGUCCACGCCGUAAACGGUGGGCACUAGGUGUGGGGAACAUUCCACGUUCUCCGUGCUGAAGCUAACGCAUUAAGUGCCCCGCCUGGGGAGUACGGCCGCAAGGCUAAAACUCAAAGGAAUUGACGGGGGCCCGCACGAGCGGCGGAGCAUGCGGAUUAAUUCGAUGCAACGCGAAGAACCUUACCUGGGUUUGACAUAUACCGGAAAGCUGCAGAGAUGUAGCCCCCGCAAGGUCGGUAUACAGGUGGUGCAUGGCUGUCGUCAGCUCGUGUCGUGAGAUGUUGGGUUAAGUCCCGCAACGAGCGCAACCCUCGUCCUAUGUUGCCAGCGGAUAAUGCCGGGGACUCAUAGGAGACUGCCGGGGUCAACUCGGAGGAAGGUGGGGAUGACGUCUAGUCAUCAUGCCCCCUUAAGUCCAGGGCUUCACGCAUGCUACUAUGGCUGGUACAUAGGGCUGCGAUACCGCAAGGUCGAGCGAAUCCCAAAGCCAGUCUCAGUUCGGAUUGGGUCUGCAACUCGACCCAUGAAGUCGAGUCGCUAGCAUCCUAAAUUACUAUCUCG